rnacentral:misc_RNA from 1 species
AACCUAGCACACCUGCGGUGUGUACCUGCGGAGGGAUCAUUAUCGAGUUGCAAAACUCCCUAAACCAUUGUGAACCUACCUGUACCGUUCCUUCGGCGGGCGGCGUCAAGCCCUAACCCGGUCCCCUUUACGGGGGAUGGACCCGCCGGAGGCUCCUAAACUCUUAAUUUUAGUUGGCAUCUCUGAGUAAAUCAAAAUAAGUCAAAACUUUUAACAACGGAUCUCAGAUCGGAAGAGCAC